rnacentral:lncRNA from 1 species
UAUGGAACGCCAGGCUUCUGCCUGCCUCAUUGUAUGCCCAGCACCUCACUGAGAGAGUGGCACAUAGCAGAUGCUAAAUGCAUAUACACAGCUGGAUGGAGAGCACUGCCCACGAAGAAAUGACAACUCUGAAUGCCUUCCUAUGAGAUGGCUUGCUUUGAAGAUGGAAGUGAGAGAGAGGCAACAAGGAGCCCUGGACACAUGGAAGGUGGGGGAUAAAGAAAGAAGAGUAUGGGAGCUGGGACUGCCCCAGGCUAAGAAGGGUCCCAGGGCCAUGCCCAAGGCAGGCCUGAUAUUAACUGUGGAGAACGAUGGGGGUCCCCAGAGGCUGGGAGAAGCGAUAACUCACAGAGCUGCCUCAUGCAACUGGAGUCUAGACAAUGG